AGAAUCAACGCUGGCGGCGUGCCUAACACAUGCAAGUCGAACGAGAAAGUGGAGCAAUCCAUGAGUAAAGUGGCGCACGGGUGAGUAACACGUGACUAACCUACCUUUUAGUGGGGGAUAACCUAGGGAAACCUGGGCUAAUACCGCAUAACACUUACGAGUCAAAGCAGCAAUGCGCUGAAAGAGGGGGUCGCGGCCGAUUAGCUAGUUGGCGGGGUAAUGGCCCACCAAGGCAGUGAUCGGUAUCCGGCCUGAGAGGGCGCACGGACACACUGGAACUGAAACACGGUCCAGACUCCUACGGGAGGCAGCAGUGGGGAAUUUUGCGCAAUGGGGGAAACCCUGACGCAGCAACGCCGCGUGGAGGAUGAAGUCCCUUGGGACGUAAACCCCUUUCGAUCGGGACGAUAAUGACGGUACCGGAAGAAGAAGCCCCGGCUAACUUCGCGCCAGCAGCCGC
rnacentral:rRNA from 1 species